UACGAGAGGCCCAAACGUUAUUCGGAAUUACUGGGCUUAAAGAGUUCGUAGGCGGCGCGGAAAGUGGGGUGUGAAAGCCCUCGGCUCAACCGAGGAAUUGCGCUCCAAACUACCGUGCUUGAGGAAGCUAGAGGUGAGCAGAACUGAUGGUGGAGCGGUGAAAUGCGUUGAUAUCAUCAGGAAUACCGGAGGCGAAGGCGGCUCACUGGGGCUCUUCUGACGCUGAGGAACGAAAGCCAGGGUAGCGAACGGG
rnacentral:rRNA from 1 species